AACACGAACAUAUACAAAUGCUAAAAAUCACUAGGAUUCCCCAAAUACAGGAAUUCUUGUUUUCCAAAAGUAUGCAAAACCAAACUUCACGAAAAUUAUCGUUAAAACAACACUUAUAUUCACUUCUAAAGUCUAUACAUCUCAGUUUAACAAAAACAACACAAGUUAAUAACUUUGAAUUUAAUUAAAUUUGGUUAAUUAGUGGCAUGUGUGUCCUUGAUCCCAUGCUCCCAUGUACAAUGUGUUCCUGUACAAUCUAGAGAAAAAAACAAGUUAUUCCAUCACCAGAAAAUAUAUUUACAAUAUAUCUACUGGUAGAUCACUUUAAACUUAAACGAAAUAACAUACAAAUAAAUCAAAUUGUAUUAUGAAGAAAGUAUAAAGAAUCUAAAGAAGGUUCACCUGAUUAACAUGUAGUGUUGUCAAGCCUUGAGAUAUCUCUUAGGAGAGGCCAUAAAACCUUCUAAACAUGUGAAAAUCUGGAAAAAUUGCAUAUCUUAGUUUAGUAUAUAAAGAAAGAUAUUAAAAAUCAUGAAAAAAUCACAAAACAUAAAAGAUGAAAGUUUAAUAUAACGCCAUAAAAUGAACAUAAGAGAAUUAGAGCAACGAUG
rnacentral:lncRNA from 1 species